CAAGUUAUUGAAAUUAUCAUCAAGACAUCGCUAUAGUUCUAUCAGAUAGAUUGUGGUUGUUAGCCCCUAACAAUCCAGAGGUAUGAAGGUAUGUUAUAUGGUUUUGUUUUACUCCUUUAUUUACAAGCCCAUCUUUUAUUCUUGUAUUUUUCUCUUGAAAGUGUGUUAGGGUAUGGCACUAAGACUGUUUUUGGGGGUGGUUGUGUGCCGCAGGCUGUUUUCAAUCAUACUACCCGGCUUUGCAGGGAAUUCAGAUUCCCUGCAAAAUGAGAUUGAUGCUUUUUCUUAUUGUUUCCAGGUCUGGCUUCAUUGAUUCAUGUGGAAGAGCAAAGGACUGGGCUUCAGAAAAGGCUGACUUUGGUCUUGCAAAUGCCAUGGUGUGAUAGAACACUACCUAAGACAUGCAGUUCCAGGCUUUCUGAAAAGAAACAUGACAACUUGAUUCACUGGCUGGAGUAAAGUGAACUGUUGAUUUUUGUCUACACAUUGGAAGGACAUCAGCUGCCCUAUCAGUGUUAUGUGCAACUGAAAUAAACUCUCAUGCUGCUGUGGAGAAGAAAUGAUGUGUAUGCCAUGAUCAUAGGAACGCAUAACCUUCCGUUUCCUCUUCCUCAUUCACAUCAGUGUCUAUGAUGUCAUGGUUUAUUUUGGACAACAGAAAAAUUGUGAGGAUGGGAAUGUAGACAGAAGAAGAUGCAGACUCUGAUAUACCAACUCUAAUGUUUUUCUUAUCUAGAUUUUUACACAAGACAGAGGCAACCAUGUAUAUACUGUUUCUAACACCUGAUAUAUAGCUCUUGGUUAACAGCCACUGAACAUGUAAUGCUAUUUAAUCUUUUGCACAUUUUAUCCUGUAAGUUAAAGUGUUAUAACUAGUAAAUUUACAUUCAAUAAAUGUACAGUGUUGUGUAAAUGUCUCCUGGCCUUGGUAUCAAGGCUGUAUAUUGCAUGAGAUGGCAUUCCUUUAUUAAGAGUCCUUAUUAUAGCCUAUACCACCUGACCCUUCACCUGCAAAUAGUGUCUCUUCAAUCCCUUGUUCUGGUAGCUGUUAUCAGCUGUAAUGACUUCUUAGCCUUUCUUCAAUAUUCCAGAUAUGCUUGGUACCUCCUUUGUUUGUUUGUUUGUUUUGUUUUGUUUUGUUUAUAUAUUCUUUACAACAAUGUCUUUGCCUGAUAAUCUGCAUAUUAUGUCUUGUUUCCACAAUUCAAAAAUUCGACCUAAUUGGUUUCUUUUUUAAAUUUAGUUCUCCAUGGCUAUUUUAAUAAAUUUCACUUUUCCAC